UACGGAGGGUGCAAGCGUUAUCCGGAUUUACUGGGUUUAAAGGGUGCGCAGGCGGAUAUGUAAGUCAGUGGUGAAAUCUUCGGGCUUAACCCGGAACUGCCGUUGAUACUAUAUAUCUUGAAUGCUGUGGAGGUAAGCAGAAUAUGUCAUGUAGCGGUGAAAUGCUUAGAGAUGACAUAGAAUACCUAUUGCGAAGGCAGCUUACUACGCAGAUAUUGACGCUCAUGCACGAAAGCGUGGGGAUCAAACAGG
rnacentral:rRNA from 1 species